rnacentral:rRNA from 1 species
AACGAACGCUGGCGGCAUGCCUAACACAUGCAAGUCGAACGAGACCUUCGGGUCUAGUGGCGCACGGGUGCGUAACGCGUGGGAACCUGCCCUUAGGUUCGGAAUAACUCCCCGAAAGGGGUGCUAAUACCGGAUAAUGUCUUCGGCCCAAAGAUUUAUCGCCAUUGGAUGGGCCCGCGUUGGAUUAGCUAGUUGGUAGGGUAAAAGCCUACCAAGGCGACGAUCCAUAGCUGGUCUGAGAGGAUGAUCAGCCACACUGGGACUGAGACACGGCCCAGACUCCUACGGGAGGCAGCAGUGGGGAAUAUUGGACAAUGGGCGAAAGCCUGAUCCAGCAAUGCCGCGUGAGUGAUGAAGGCCUUAGGGUUGUAAAGCUCUUUUACCCGGGAUGAUAAUGACAGUACCGGGAGAAUAAGCUCCGGCUAACUCCGUG